UUUUAAAAUGUAGAAUACAAAGUUACAGGUAUUUUAAAAUGUAGAAUACAAAGUUACAGGUAUUUUAAAAUGUAGAAUACAAAGUUACAGGUAUUUUAAAAUGUAGAAUACAGAGUUACAGGUAUUUUAAAAUGUAGAAUACAGAGUUACAGAUAUUUUAAAAUGUAGAAUACAGAGUUACAGGUAUUUUAAAAUGUAGAAUACAGAGUUACAGGUAUUUUAAAAUGUAGAAUACAGAGUUACAGGUAUUUUAAAAUGUAGAAUACAGAGUUACAGGUAUUUUAAAAUGUAGAAUACAAAGUUUUUGUAUUGUUUUGAAUGACUUUAGCACUAGAACUACCACACCAAUCGAAUUGACUGGUUUUAUAACUUUAUUUUAAAAUUCCUAUUUCAUUUAUAUUUUCUUCCACAAUGAUGUAACGAGUUUUGCAACGAUAACUAAAAGAAUAAUAUAAUGAAAUUUAUUUUGUUUUUUAUGUAUUCAAACUGAAAAUAAUUUUGUAUCAAGGCUACUUAUACCAAUACCAGUCAAAAUGACUGGUACUUGUCAAAGUGUAAAAGGAUGCUGCGAUCUGUUUAUCGAACCCCAAUUAACCAGUUUCCUCGUUUUGUACAACUUCCCACGUGUUUUUCAAAUUUUUACUACGUAUCAUUCGAUAUGAUGAUAUCGGCUAUCAGGAAAAUUCCGGAUCGAUCGCUAGAUCGCUAGAUGCUAACACUAGAAAUACCACAGCGAUCAAAACGGCUGGUUCUACAAUUUUAUAAAUGUGUCGACCCUAGUUUAGGGAUGAUGGUCCCAGAUGGAUUAAUAAUACCAAAAAUGUACUACACAACAUGGAAUUGCUUCUGUAAGAAAGUAAUAAAUCAAUAGAUAUAAAAAUAUUCUAUUAUUGUGUAUUUUUUAAAGACCACUCGUUUUGACUGGUUUUGGUAGAAAUAGCUUCGUGUUAACUAUCGGUAGUUCUAGUGUUAAUAUUACUAUUUGCACAUCAUUGUAGCAUUUAAAAUCUGACACUUAAAAACUUGCAAGUCGAAGUAUGAUGAGAAUAAGUUGCAGUUGCCGGUCGACAUUCGCAAUUAAAAGUCUCAGCGUUAAGGGUUAGAUAAAAGUAAAUAGUUAAAUCGCUAUGGAAACACAGCACGAGCGUGCAGUCGUGUCCUCGGUCCACGCGGUUCACGAUAUUUCCACGACGGCGGUGAGGCAGCGACGCUUAACGUCCCCGUGAAAUUGUAACGGCGGACCAUGCGAAUUUACAGCCAGAGACCGGUGCAAUGUCGGUUUCGUCGUCGGCUGUUAUCCCAUGAAACAAACUGUUCAACCACGCGUAAUUUCAUAGGCCAUAACCACGUUUAUUCUUUCGCUCUUCGCCUCACAACGCUAUGGGACUCGCGCGAUCGCUCGAAUAAUCGAAUCUCGAGUAUUUAGACGCCAGAUAAACGAGUCAUCAGGUGGUAAAGCUGCUGGUUCAAUAACAAAUCGUUUUCGCGUUUAGUCAGCGGCGAUUGUUCUACGAAUUUCUAUGCAAAUUUACGUUUUUACGAAUACAAAUAUAUACAGGAUACUCGUGCAGUUUGGUGUACGGUUAUUCUACGCGUAAAAAUAGAACAGAAAUGUCAUGUAACAAAAAGACCAUAAACGUAUCGUGACAAAGUUGUGACAAAAAUAUAUGUACGUCAAUAUUCUUUGUCUUAGUUUAACACAGAACAAAACAGGAUGCGUAAUGUUCGUGGUUGAUAUGAAACGAAGAGUCCACAGGACAAGAAUUAGUAUUUUUCAGGAAAGAAAAUUUGCUUUUCGCCAAUGUCACAACUUGGUAUUUUCUCAUGUGUUGAAAUAGAAGAUCAUUUGAAAUCUUCAUUUUAUUCCGCAUCAUUUUCAAUGUAAUGGUAUCCCACCGGGGGUAGCCAUCCACAUGUUAUAUUACUAUAUCACUAAGCUAUAAUAUUUUACCAAAUGUCCUACUGGACAAAUUGUAAAAUGUAAAUAAAUAAAUAAAUAAAAAAAAAUGUUCAAUGUUUACGAGCCCCGAGAUAUUCCCGUUUCUUAUAUCGUUCUCCUUUGACAUUGCUCGUUUUUUCGUUGUACAAUCUAAUUUCUUAUUGCUUUUUAAUUGGGUUGGUUGAUCAUCUGUGUCUUAGCCACUGUGAAACUGAGAAAAUUUUAAUUCGCAAUUUAGUUCCACUGAAUUCGUUAAAAUUGACAUUUGUUGACAUGAGAAAUUGUUCAUAUGUUUAGUUAUAAUGCUUAUAAAUUAUACCUAUCUAUAAUAAGUAUUAACUUAUUGUAAAUAAACAGCCAUGUCACUGCGCCACGCCAGAAAAAUUACUGAAAAUUCUCAACGCGAGAAUUGAUUGUAAUUUCAACAAAUAAAUAAAAAAAAAUAUAUGUUUAGUAUCUGUUUGCACGAUUCUACUGUACUACGGUUUUCUUUCAAUUUCGUUCUGGUUUCUAAAUUAGUCGCACGAAUCAGAACGAAAAGCGCGCGUGAAGAAAUGAGACAAAAUAGCCGUGAAAUUCUAUCUGAUAAAUUCAAUGGCAUAUCGAUAUCAAAUUUGCAUUGAUAAGGGCGAACGACACAUCGAAACGAUAAGUAUGUUUAGCUUUGCGUAUUCACACUUUUGUUAUAACUAUUUGACAAAACGUUUAUGGACAUCUUAUCUAUAAAAAUUCGCCACGAUGUUUCGUCAGCGUUUUCACAUCAAACUACGAACGUGUAAUCUCGCAAACUUUCUUAAAAUCAGUUUACUAUCAAUUUCAAAAAAAAAACACUCUGAUUCGUCGAAGAUACAACGUAAAGAUACGAAUCCUCCAACGUUGCAAGUCGAAUCGCGGCGAACUUACAGUUCGAAAAGUGCACAGAAACAGCGAUCUAAAAAUGUGGAAUUUAAUUUCUGCGAUAAUGAGCGGCAUAGAAUGUCAAAGAAAAGUAAUAGUCCAUGAAAAUGGCGAAAAAGAAAGUGUACGUAAAUACGUUCGAAAAAGACCUUUCGUGCUAUAAAUCCGUGGUCCUCCUGACCUUGUUAAAGUCGUAUCUCGGGAAGAUCUUCAGCACGUACGGCAGGUUUCAAGAGCAUACUUGCCACCUGGCGGCCAAGCAUCUUCGCCUUCCUCCCCUUUCCUUCCUCCAUCAUUCCUGCUGCUGCUGCUGUUGCUUGCUUCCUUUCGCAGUUACGCGACAAAAACUAGUCGCAUGCUUAGCUAAAUGCUCUCCCGUUGGCUCCUUGUCCUUGGCCCUCGUCCUUUUAGAAAGAAGCCGAUGCCGUCAGUUUCUUCCUCGCGAUGGCCACCACAUUCCCUCU